AAUUCAUAUCAAUGGCUUUAGAAAAGUAAUAGAUUUUCAUUCUUUGUGGUCCAAAAUAAAAAUUAACACAAUCUGUCAACAUUGCCACAUUAUGUGAACCCAUUGUAUUCAAGUUCCAAGAAAAGUUUGAAUUGGCAAAAUUUCCUCAAAAAAAGUGUUCAGAUUUCAAGUCGUUCAAUCUCUGGGGCAUUUGAGUUCCAAGAUAUUUAAUGAUAAUUUAGUUCAUAGUGAUUUACAUCCAGGAAACAUUCUUGUACAAAGCCUACCAGUUUAUGAAAAAGUCAAUUCUUUUAUAAAGAGACAAUCUAAUGUUUUAGCAAAAGUUAAAUAUUCAUUACAAAUUGUUAUAUUAGACUGUGGACUUACAUCGUCAUUGAAUCCUGUUGACUUUGUAAAAUUCUGUAAAGUAUUUAAAGCAGUGGCAUUAGGAAAGGGAAAAGAAGUAGGUGAAAUAUUUUUGAGGUUUUCUGUCCACGAGUGCAAAGAACCAGAAAAAUUUAUGGAUCAAAUGAAUGAAAUAGUUACAAAAGCCAGAGAAAGCACACUUUCAUUAAAAACAAUCAAUGUUGGUCAAUUACUGAAUAGCGUUUUUAAUCUGUUGACAAGUCAUCGUGUCAAACUAGAAAGCAAUUUUGUCUCCAUCAUGAUUGCGAUAAUGAUAGUUGAGGGAAUGGGUAGAUCACUUGAUCCCAAUUUAGAUAUCUUGCAGGAAGCAACCAAUUACCUCCUUUAAUACAAUAAAUGCUUAAAAAAGUUUUCAAUUUAUUACUACAAAUUAUUUAAAUCUUUACAAAGAUUUUUAUAAAUAUAUAUGUUUCGUAUUUUUAUAUGUAAAUAUGUA